GACGAACGCUGGCGGCGUGCUUAACACAUGCAAGUCGAACGAAAAUACCAAGCUUGCUUGGUUGAUUAGUGGCGAACGGGUGAGUAACACGUGAGUAACCUGCCCCUUACUUUCCUGGAUAACUGCUCGAAAGGGUAGCUAAUACGGGAUAUCCUGACCAGCCUGCAUGGGUUGGUUUGGAAAGGUUGUUUUUCUGGUAAGGGAUGGGCUCGCGGCCUAUCAGCUUGUUGGUGGGGUGAUGGCCUACCAAGGCUUUGACGGGUGGCCGGCCUGAGAGGGUGGACGGUCACACUGGGACUGCGAUACAGCCCAGACUCCUACGGGAGGCAGCAGUGGGGAAUAUUGCACAAUGGGCGCAAGCCUGAUGCAGCGACGCCGCGUGAGGGAUGAAGGCCUUCGGGUUGUAAACCUCUUUCGUCAGGGAACAAGGCACUGCUUUUUUGGUGGUGUUGAGGGUACCUGGAUAAGAAGCGCCGGCUAACUACGUG
rnacentral:rRNA from 1 species